UACGUAGGGUGCGAGCGUUGUCCGGAAUUAUUGGGCGUAAAGAGCUCGUAGGCGGUCUGUCGCGUCUGCUGUGAAAACCCGAGGCUCAACCUCGGGCCUGCAGUGGGUACGGGCGAGACUAGAGUGCGGUAGGGGAGAAUGGAAUUCCUGGUGUAGCGGUGGAAUGCGCAGAUAGUCAGGAGGAACACCCGUGGCGAAGGCGGCACUCUGGGACGGUACUGACGCUGAGACGCGAAAGCGUGGGGAGCGAACAGG
rnacentral:rRNA from 1 species